rnacentral:rRNA from 1 species
UACGUAGGGUGCGAGCGUUAAUCGGAAUUACUGGGCGUAAAGCGUGCGCAGGCGGUUUUGUAAGCCAGAUGUGAAAUCCCCGGGCUUAACCUGGGAAUGGCAUUUGGGACUGCAAGGCUUGAGUGCGGCAGAGGGGGAUGGAAUUCCGCGUGUAGCAGUGAAAUGCGUAGAUAUGCGGAGGAACACCGAUGGCGAAGGCAAUCCCCUGGGCCUGCACAUGACGCUCAUGCACGAAAGCGUGGGGAGCAAACAGG